rnacentral:rRNA from 1 species
UACGUAGGGUGCGAGCGUUUAAUCGGAAUUACUGGGCGUAAAGCGUGCGCAGGCGGUUUGCUAAGACAGGUGUGAAAGCCCCGGGCUCAACCUGGGAAUGGCAAUGGAAACUGGCGGGCUGGAGUAUGGCAGAGGGGGGGUGGAAUUCCGCGUGUAGCAGUGAAAAUGCGUAGAGAUGCGGAGGAACACCGAUGGCGAAGGCGGGUCUCUGGGCCGUAACUGACGCUGAGGAGCGAAAGCUGGGGAGCGAACAGG